AUUGAACGCUGGCGGCAGGCCUAACACAUGCAAGUCGAACGAGUGGCGGACGGGUGCGUAAUGUCUGGGAAACUGCCUGAUGGAGGGGGAUAACUACUGGAAACGGUAGAUAAUACCGCAUACCAUCGGAUGUGCCCAGAUGGGAUUAGCUAGUAGGUGGGGUAAAGGCUCACCUAGGCGACGAUCCCUAGCUGGGCUGAGAGGAGGACCACCCCCCCUGAAACGGGGACACGGUCCAGACUCCACCUACAACCACCAUUUCAAAAUAUUCCACAAUGAACGCAAGCCUGGUUCAGCCAUGCCGCGUGGAUGAAGAAUUCCUUCGGGUUUUAACGUACUUUCAGCGGGGAGGCGUUACCCGCAGAAGAAGCACCGGCUAACUCCGUGCCAGCCGCCGCGGUAAUAC
rnacentral:rRNA from 1 species